CUAUAAGCAAUUCUUGGCAUUUGCUAAAACCCAACAGACAUUCCCUUAGUCAUCUACCUCAACAACCCAAACGGUAGCCACCAUUACUACAGGUAUCUCCCUUUGUAAUUUAACUUCUCCAAACCCAAACCUGUUACCUGGAUAAUUGAUACUGGGGCCACAGACCAUAUGGUAUGUUCACCCACAUUCUUAUCUUCUAUUGAUUCCACCACAAUCACAAAUGUUAAUUUAUCAAAUAGAUCCCCUAUUCUAGUUAACCAUAUUGGAAAAGUGAAAAUUGCUAAAAACCUGCUUCUUGAAAAUGUCUUGUGUGUACCUUCUUUUUCUUUCAAUCUUUUAUAAGUAUCUAAACUAACUAGAACUUCCAAUAUCCUUGUGAUUUUCUCUACCUCCCAUUGCUUUAUAAAGGAUCUGGACAGCAAGAGGAUGACUAGUUUUGCUAGAGAGAAGGGUCCAUUUCACGUUUCUUCCCGUGAUGGUUACAAAUUUUUUCUCACCAUAGUUGGUGAUUAUUCCAAAUGCAUCUGGGUUUACAUGAUGCAAUCAAAGGCUGAAACCCGUAACUAUUCAAAGAAGUUUCAUCAAAUGGUCAUCGCAGAGUUCAAUACUAAAAUUAAGGCAUUCCGAACUGAUAAUGGGAUUGAGUCCCUCAUGACUGAAUUUUAUAAUUCACAUGGCAUUCUCCACCAGAAAAGCUGUGUUGAAUCUCCACAGCAAAAUGGUACUGUGGAAAGAAAGCACCAAUUUAUUCUACAAAUUGCCAGGGCACUUAUUGUUCAAUCAAAUAUGCCUCUCAUCUUUUGGAGUGACUGUAUUCUCACUGCAAUUCACAUUAUCAAUAGGAUUCCUUCUCCACUUCUUGGCAAUAAGACCCCUUAUGAAAUGCUCUUCCAAAAACCACCAAGCUAUGCUCAUCUUCUAACAAGCAAGCACUCUCACUAAUCAUAGAAACAAAUUUUCUCCUCGUGCAUCAAGAUGCAUUUUCCUUGGCUAUCCACUUGGUUCCAAAGGAUAUAAAGUCUGUGACCUUCAAAAUCACAGAUCCUUUAUUAGUCGAAAUGUCAUUUUUCAUGAAUUCUAAUUUCCUUAUAAGUACUCUUCUCUCCAUUCCCCAGAUGAUCAUCGUAUUUUCCCGAUCCCUGAACAUUCCUUUGACCUUUCUUGUCAUCCCACCUCAUAUAUCAACCACUCUCCAGACACCAGCAGAAGCCAAGCUGAAGUUAACACUGGUCCAGCGCCUGAUCAUGAAUUCCCUCUUAGCCCAACAGAAGAAACUAGCUGUUAUCUUUCUCCCAUUUCUUCACCAGAGUCUCUUCUACUUGUUUACCAAUCUUUGCCCAGAAAGUCUAGUCGCCAAAAGCACCCACCCUCCUACUCAAAUGAGUAUCAUUGUGAUUUGCCUUUUUCUCCUACUGUUUUCUAGUCCUCCAUCAUGCUGGUUUGCUCAUCUGUAUCUGGUAAGCCCUUCUCACUUUUUCAAUUUUUAUCCUCUGAUAGACUUAACCCUGAACACAAGGCAUUUACUAUUUCUAUAACAAAUCUCUAUAAACCAAAAUUUUAUAGACAAGCCAUCAAAUUCCCAUACUGGCAAGCUGCCAUGGAUAGUGAAAUUAAGGCCCCUGAAACGAAUAACACUUGGACCCUCACUCCUCUACCGCCUGGUAAGCACAUAAUUCGUAGUAAAUAGGUUUACAACGUCAAAUUCAAAGCUGAUGGCUCAGUGAAAAGAUACAAGGCACGCCUAUUUGCCAAGGGUUGCACCCAACAGGAAGGCUUGGACUUCUUUGACACAUUUUCCCGUGUGGCAAAAUUGACAUCUAUUCGUGUUCUCUUAGCUGUUGUAGCAGUUAAUAAUUGGUUCCUUCACCAAUUAGAUGUCAACAAUGAUUUUCUCCACGAUGAUCUCCAUGAAGAAGUAUACAUAGACUUGCCUCGGGGUUAUCCCAUCCAUGACCCCUCACUAGUAUGUAAACUUAACAAGAGCCUAUAUGGUCUCAAACAGGCAUCUCGCCAAUGGUUCGCUGAGUUGACCUUAAGCCUUGUUUCAUAUGGUUUCCAUCAGUCUAACUCUGAUUCAUCUUUAUUUUUAAAAUCUACCAACGGAUCUUUCCUUGUUUUAUUGGUUUGUGUUGAUGAUAUUUUCCUUGCAAGCAUUAAUCUUUGUGAAAUGCAGAUCCUUAAGAAGUUCUUGGAUGAUCAGUUCACUAUUAAAGACUUGGGAAAAUUAAAGUAGAUUGGGAUCCCAUUGAUCCAGCGGAAGCAAUGGCUAGGGCAUGGACAAUACAAGAUCCUAUUGGUUUGGAAGUGGCUAAAUCUCAUCAAGGCAUCAGUCUUUGCUAGAGAAAAUAUGACUUGGAUAUACUUGAAGAUUGUGGCUUUUCUGGUUGCAAGUUGGUGGCCUUUCCUAUGGAGUCUUUUCUUAAACUCACAGCAACUGAUGAAAACCUUCUACUUGAUCCUUUAGUUUAUCGAAAACUAAUUGGCAGGCUCAUUUAUCUUAUAAUUACUAGGCCUAAUUUGGCCAACUCCAUCCAAGUUCUUAGUCAGUUUUAUGUCCAAAUCGGCUCAGUCCCAUCUUCAUGUUGUUCACAGGGUCCUCAGAUAUACGUGUUGGGUUGUGUGCCCAUAUAGUAUAGUUUUGCUGAU
rnacentral:lncRNA from 1 species